UGGAAGACCUUUCCUACAAAAAGGAGGAAGGGGAGGUGGCAACUGCAGUCCAGACCGAGCCUAUCCCCAGGGUGUGUGGAGAUCCACCCCCACUGGAAAGGCCAGAUGUCAUCCUGCCUAUCCUGAAGGAUGACAGAUCCUACAUGCUCUGUGGAUAUUGGGCUGAUGGGUCUGAAACACCAGUGCAGGUUUCUGCUGAGCCUUGGCACCUUACAACCCAGCAGCCCAUCUGCUGUGCUGAGGCCAUUGUGGUGGAAAACCCCUACCACCAAAAGGAGGAAGUGGAGUUGGCAUCUACAGACCAGGCCAAGGCUAUCCCCAUGGUGUGUGGAGACCCACCCCCACUGGAAGGGCCAGAUGCCAUCGUGCCUGUCCUCAAGGAUGACAGAUCCUACCUGCUCUGUGGAUACUGGGCUGAUGAGCCUGAAGCACCAGCCCAGGCCUGGGCUAGGGCCUGGCACUUUACAACCCAGCAACCCCUCUGCUGUGCUGAGGCCAUUGUGGUGGAAGACUCCUCAAACAAAAAGGAGAAAGUCAAGGGGGCAUCCUCAGAUCAGGCUGAGGCUAUGUCCAGGGUGGGUGAAGAUCCACCCCCACUGGAAGGGCCAGAUGUCAUCACACCUAUCCUCAAGGAUGAUGGGUCCUACAUGCUCUGUGGAUUUUGGGCAGAUGAUCCUGAAGCACCAGUCCAGGCCUGUGCUGAGCCCUGGUACCUUACAACCCAGAAGCCCAUUUGCUGUGCUGAAGCCAUUGCGGUGGAAGAGCCCUCCUGCAAAAAGGAGGAAGGGGACUCGGCAUCUGCAGAGCAGGCCGAGGCUAUACCCAUGGUGUGUGGAGACCCACCCCCACUGGAAGGGCCAGAUGCCAUCGUGCCUAUCCUCAAGGAUGACGGAUCCUACCUGCUCUGUGGAUACUGGGCUGAUGAGCCUGAAGCACCAGUCCAGGCCUGGGCUGGAGCCUGGCACUUUACAACCCAGCAGCCCAUCUUCUGUGCUGAGGACACUUUGGUGGAAGAGCCCUCAUUUCAAGAGGAGGAAGGUGUGGUGGCACCUGCAGACCAGGCCGAGGCUAAUCAGAGCCUCUGCUCUGCAUCACACCUCAGGGUGUGUGAAGAUCCACCCCCACUGGAAGGGCCAGAUGUCAUUGUGCCUAUUCUCAAGGAUGAUGGAUCCUACAUGCUCUGUGCAGUUUGGAUGGAUGAUCCUGAAGUGCCGGUCCAGGCCUGGGCUAGGGCCUGGCACCCUACAACCCAGCAACCCAUCUGCUGUGCUGAGGCCAUUGUGGUGAAAGAUGCCACCUACCAAAAAGAGAAAGUCAUGUUGGCAACUGCUGAUUGGGCUGAGGCUACCUCCAGGGUGGGUGGAGAUCCACCACCACUGGAAAGGCCAGAUGCCAUUGUGCCCAUCCUCAAGGAUGAUGGAUCCUACAUGCUCUGUGCAUAUUGGGCUGAUGAGCCUGAAGCCCCAGUCCAGGCCUGGGCUGGGGCCCUGCACCCUACAGCCCAGCAGCCCAUCUGCUGUGCGGAGGCCAUUGUGGUUUCCCUCCUUGCAGUGGAAGAUGCCUCCAGCCAGAAGGAGAAAAUAGAGGUGGCAUCUGCAGAGCAGACUGCAGUGGAAGAGCCCUCAUCACAAGAGGAGGAAGGGAAGGUGGCACGUGCAGACCAGGCUGAGGCUAAUCAGAGGGUGUGUGGAGAUCCACCCCCACUGGAAGGGCCAGAUGCCAUUGUGCCUAUCCUCAAGGAUGACGGAUCCUACCUGCUCUGUGGAUACUGGGCUGAUGAGCCUGAAGCACCAGCCCAGGUCUGGGCUGAGGCCUGGCAUGCAAAAACCCAGCAGCCCAUCUGCUGUGCUGAGGCUUUUUGGGUGAGUCCUUAGAUGUGAAUCUUGCUGCAGACCUGUCAAAGUGCCCGAGUGGACUCCUAUGACCCAGGCCUGCUUGCUGUUACUCCCCAGGGAAAGGUGGUGAUGUGGCAGGCUGUCCCCUGGGCUAUAUCUGGAUGGACAGAGGCAGAACCCAUGGUGGAGUUUGCAGCACAGUUGUAGUGUGGCUGGUGUGUCUUAGCCUCAUAGUCCCAGGAUAUGCCCCCCUUUCUGACACUGACACUGGCCUUGUUGUGCCUGAAGCACAUG
ensembl:lncRNA